AGCACAGUUGUGUGUCUCAACACUUCGUCACAAUCUCAACACUUUGUCUCUUGUCUCUGUGUGUUGUGUGUGUCUCUCUCUCAGUUGUGCUUUAAAAACACAACCUCCCAACAAUCUCUACGAACCUUAGCAAUCUUAGAUAUCCUAUUCAUCGGUAUAGCAGGGUUAGGGUUUAAGGUAUCGAAUCGAAUUUUUUCUCCGUUUCAGAUUAUUUCAGGUGAAAGCUUUGAUGCGCUGUGGUAGUUGAAGCUCGGCUUAUAGGUCAGCAUGGGAUUUGAUAAUGAGUGCAUAUUGAACAUUCAAACUUUAGCUGGAGAAUACUUCUGUCCCGUCUGUCGUCUACUUGUUUAUCCAAAUGAAGCAUUACAGUCACAAUGCACUCAUUUAUACUGCAAGCCCUGUUUGACAUACGUAGUGGGUACUACUCGGGCUUGCCCCUAUGAUGGCUACUUGGUGACCGAAGCUGAUUCCAAGCCGCUUAUUGAAUCAAAUAAAGUGCUUGCUGAAACCAUUGGCAAAAUAGCAGUGCAUUGUCUCUAUCAUAGGAGUGGAUGCACAUGGCAGGGGCCUUUAUCUGAAUGCACAUCUCAUUGUACUGGAUGUGCAUUUGGCAAUUCUCCUGUUGUAUGCAAUAGGUGUGGGAUCCAGAUUGUGCAUCGCCAAGUACAGGAACAUGCACAAAAUUGUCCUGGUGUGCAGCCUCAAGCAGAGGGUGCUCAGGACACAUCAGCCACUGGCGGAACUGCUACUGCUGAUCAGACUCAGACUACCGCUCAGGCAGGAACAACUCCUCAGGCCCAGACAUCUCAAACAACAGCAGCCACUAUACCUGGACAGGAUCCUAAUCAGCAAGCAAACCCAAAUUCUCAAGCACAAGCUUUAGCUCAGUCUGCUGUGGCAACUUCAGAACAGUGGUAUCAGCAACAACAACAGUAUCAACAAUACUACCAGCAGUAUCCUGGAUAUGAUCCUUAUCAACAGCAAUAUCAGCAGUACUACCCUUAUCAACAGCCGACAGUUCCACAAUACCAGCAACAGCAAUUGCAAGCUCCUACAUCACAUGUUACUGUCCAACAUCAACCUCAGGCUUACAUGCAACCUCAGCCCCAUAUCCAGCCUCAACCCCAACUGCAAUCUCAGCCUCAUGGACAGUCUCAAUUACAUGUUCAAGCUCCAGCAGUUGCUCAACCUCAGAACCAGGCACAAGUUAACCUGCAACAGCAACCACUAACCGCGGUACAGCCACAUUCUCAAAUUCAAUCGCAGACUCAACCAGCCCCGAGCCACCCACAUCCUCAGCCUCAGCCCCAUCUGACCCAACCUCAUCCACAGCAACAUGUCCCGAUGCCUCAAUAUCAGCAGCCUCAUCAUCAAAUGCAACAUCCACAGAUCCAAAUCCAGCAACAGGCCCAUCAGCAUCCUACCUCUCAAGCUCAACCUCAUUCACAAGCUCAGCUACAAGCACCUGUUCAUCCCCACCUAAAUCCUAAUGUGACUCAGAUGCAGCUUCCAUCAGCCCAUGCUGUGACCGGCCAUCAAUCAUAUCCUCAGCCUCAGCCUCACCAGCAAGCGCACCCAGUAGUUCCCCAACAACAUCCAAUGCAAAUGCACCCUCAAGGUGGGUUUCAGCCACAGACUCAACAUCCUGGUCAAAUGCCAAGUCAAUAUCCUCAACAACAUACUACUAUGCGUCCAACCCAUUCUCAUGGUACACUUCCAAACCAGCAACAGGUGGGUUUGUUGCCAUCACCAGGUCAAGGCCAAAACAUCCCUCUUGCACAACAGCAGCCAGUUCAACAACCUGGACACCCAAUACUCCAGCGCCCUGCUAUGCAGCAAGUUCAACAACCCAUGACACAUCAAUAUGUACAGCAGCAGCAGCAGCAGCCUUUCGUUCUGCAAGGUCCUUUUGUACAGCAGCAGAUGCCUACCCAAUCUCAGUUACGCCCCCCAGGCCCUCCCCAUUCAUAUCCACAACAUACUACUGCCUAUCCUCAGGUGCAGCAGAAUUUACCAUUAUCACAUGGAUCUCAAAAUGUUGCUGGAAGGCCUGUGUUGCCAAAUCUUGGAGUACAAUCACACCCAUAUCCUCAACAUGCUGGUGGUGUUCAGGCUAGGCCAAUCCAUCCCGGUGCAAGCCAACCAGCAGCAAAUCAGACUAAUAUAUUCAGGAACAGCAAUCAAGUACAAGUGUCUACUGAACAACAGUCUGGGGUGACUUCAAGACCAACAAGUGUGGGUGAUCAAAAAGCUGAAUCAUCUUCUGAGAAUGCUGUUAAAAAGGACUCAAAUGAUUUGGGUGCUGGUCUUGGUGCUGAUGCUGGUGAUGGUAAAACUGUGAAAUCUGAAACUGAGUCCAAGGAUAAUGGUGAUGCUGAACCUGGAUCAAAUGCUUUUGAAAAUGGAGAACUUGUUAUGCGGAUGGUGAAGGAAGAGGUUACAGAAAGUACUUCGGAGCAUUUAAAGGGUAGUAAAUCAGGUGAAUUUGUAACUGAGAUCAAGAAAGAUGUAGAAAAUUCUGCUAUGGAAGAUAGAGAAAGUCAGGAUGAUCAUCUACUGAAAAAACCCCCAUUGCAAGAAUCUGAACAUGUUGAAAAACUCAGUGGGAAGUUGCAGAAGGAUGCCAGUGGAAUUCAGCAGCCUGAUGAAGGCUCACAAACUUUGUCUACAAUUUCAGCUCCUGUCUCCCGUAGUCCUGCUCAGAAUGUUAUCCCAAAAGGAUCUGUUGCUCAUGGUCCUGGAGUUGAUGAAUACAGAGGUUUUCCUCCACCUGGUCAGGUGCAACCUGGGGGCUUCAUGCAGCCUUCUCACCCAGGUCCAAUUGCUGAUCAGGGAAGGCAUUUUGGGCCUUCUACUCUUCAACAAAGGCCUGGUGCUCCAUUAUUACAAACAACCCCUCAUGCACUUCCACAUUACCCACACACAGCAGGGCACCCUCCCACUCAAUUUAGGCCUCAGGGACCAGGGUAUGCACCUGAGCAUUUCCAGCCACCUGUGUUUAAGCAGUCUCAAGGUCUUGAAAUUCCUCCUGGUGGCAUCUCAGGUCCUGGCUCCGCAGCAUCCUUUGGGAGGGGAACAGGUUAUCAUGGUUUUCCCCAUCAAAACUUUGAAUCACAAUCUGUUGCUCCUCAAGGCCCUCAUAGUCAAGGGCAUGCACUCCCUACCCAUGCUGCAGCUUCCAGAAUGUCUCAAGGUGAAUCUGUUGGACCACCAUUUGGUAUACUACCUCCUGGUGCAAUUGAUUCACAUGGUGGAAUGGCUAGAGCACCACCCCAUGGCCCUGAAGGUUUGAUGGGCCAGCAGCGGCCUAGUAAUCCGAUGGAAACUGAAUUGUUUAUAAAUCAUAGACCUGGCUACAUGGAUGGUAGACGACCUGAUCCACAUCUUCCCGGGUCUUUGGGACUGGGUCCAGUUGGUCAGCCUUCCGGUGUGAUGAGAAAUAAUGGUCCCCCUGGCCUUGAGUCCUCAUUCACACACGGGUUGCGGGAUGAUAGGUUUAAGCCUUUCCCAGAUGAGCGUUCCAAUUCUUUUCCGGCAGGCCGACAUGUAACUGAUAAAGGAGAGUUUGAAGAUGAUCUCAAGCAAUUCCCCAGGCCUUCUCGUUUGGAUGCCGAGCCUUUACCAAAGUUUGGGAGUUAUUCAUCAAGGCCCCAUGAUAUGGGACCCCAUGGGCUAAAUUAUGAUACUGGUUUGAAAUUGGAUCCUGGGGCAGGUGGUGCCCGUUCAAGAUUCUUGCCUCCCUUUGAUAGAGGAGAGAGACCAGUUGGUUUACCUGAUUCCUCUACUAUUCAUCCAGAUUUUCUUGGACCAGUUACUGGUUAUGGUCGGCGUCACAUGGAUGGUCUUGCUCCUAGAAGUCCAGUUAGAGAGUACCCAGGCAUCUCCUCACAUGGUUUUGGAGGCCUUCCUGGCCAGUUAGGUCCAGAUGAUUUUGAUGGCAGCGAGUCACGUCGAUUUGGUGAUCCAAUUGGCAAGUCCUUCCAUGAAAGCAGGUUUCCUAUGUUGCCCAGUCAUUUGCACAGAGGUGAGUUUGAGGGUCCUGGUAAGUUGCGAAUGAGUGAGCAUUUAAGGAGUGGUGAAUUGAUUGGUUUAGAUGGCCAUUUACGGAGAGGCGAACAUAUGGGUCCACAGAACAUGCCCAGUCAUUUGCGGCUGGGAGAGCCAAUUGGUUUUGGUGAUUAUCCUGGUCAUCCACGGAUGGGAGAACUGGCUGGGCUGGGGAACUUCGAACCAUUUGGUGCAGGCAACAGGCCAGGUCAUCCACGAUUUGGUGAGUCUGGAUUUAGGAGCAGUUUUCCUCGUCAGGGAUUUCCGAAUGAUGCUGGAAUUGAUACAGGAGAAAUGGAGUCUUUUGGUAACUUGAGGAAGAGGAAGGCAGCUAGCAUGGGAUGGUGCCGAAUCUGUAAAGUUGAUUGUGAAACAGUUGAAGGCUUGGAACUGCACUCACAAACAAGGGAGCACCAGAAGAUGGCAAUGGAUAUGGUACGGAGCAUCAAGCAAAAUGCAAAGAAACAGAAACAAACAUCUGGUGACAACUCCUCGCUUGAAGAUGCAAGCAAGUCAAGGAAUACAAGUUUUGAGGGCCGUGGGAAUAAUCAUUAAGUGAUUAUGGUUGCUUCCCUGUUAAUGGAGAUGGUUUGGAACUGAAGUGCAGUGGCAGGUUUCAUCACUAGAAUUAAACUUGUCUGAUAUGGUUGCUUGGUUUUGCUGGUGAUUUGCUUCUGGUGUCAAAACUUUCAGAUUUUCAAUUCGACCUGUCUUUUUACGGCGAAGCAGACGACAAAAUGGCUGAAAGUUCAGUGGAAAGGUUUACUCGGUGACCUUAUAUGGAUGUGUUACGGAGUGGCCUUUUCGAAGUUGGAUGCAAUUAUGGAAUUCAAACCCUGCUUGGUCGUGUUUUUACCAGGUUUGUGGUUUUGAAGGCUUUUUUUUUUUGGUAAGAAAUUCUGUCUUAAAUAUUAACUUUUCUGUCUUCUUGCUUUUUUUUUUUUUUCUGCCUUUUAAGAUUGCCUGAACAUUUUGUGUGAUACUGCUAGUUGUAUACAUACAGGUGGUCUUAGAUUUGAAAUUGACUAGGAACUAAAUACUUCUUUCUUUUGUCUCAUAUUUAUUAUUUAUGAUAACAGAGCACUAAUCAUGGUUUUUUUUUUUUUUUUUUUUUUUUUUUUAUAAAAUUUUUAUAUAUUAUCAAAUAGUAUAAUUUUCCCUGGCCUCUUCAAAAUCAAUAGUUAAGGUGUUAAUAAACAACAAAAGCUCAACCUAUACUUGUCUUGCACAGGUGGCUGUGCACAAAUUAUUUCUAUAAAUGUCAUGACAUUACUAGAAAUGUCUAGGGGAGAAGGCCUAGGUUAAGGUAUCAAUAUGAGCUUUAGCACAUGCACUAUCUACCACAUAGAUGACAUAGUUCUUAGUGACCAGUCACCUGUGGAUAGUUAUUCUAGAUAGAGAAUGCCUUGAUGGUAAAAACAACAUUGUAGAGAACAUUGAUAGUAGGAACAAUUAACUGGAUUGGACUGUACUGGCUAUCAAUUUGUUUGAUGGUAGAUUUGAAAGGGCUUCAUUUAAUUGUAUUGAAUUUGAUGUUUUCUCAAUAUUUUUUGUGUUAAAUUAUCUUGGUAAUUGACUUUUUUGGAAUUCAGAGUGCUCAGUUUUUUUUUUUUUUUUUUUUUAAUUAAGGUUUUGCUGUUGUUUAGAUGUUAGAAAUACUUGGUAGUUUUUCUUGCUUGGCCAGAAUGUUGUUAAUUGAUUACCUAUUAUAUUGGAUGUUUUGCCUUAAUAGCUUAAAUCUAUAUGAUGACCCUAAAUGCUUAGGCUGGUUAGGAAAUACUAGAAUUAUGGUCAAUUUUUGCUUUAGGGUUGAAUGAAAUCCCUUUUGAUAAGAAUAGUGAAAUUUCUUUCUCAAACAAGUUAAUGCUCCACUCUUUUGAUUUCCUAUUACCGAGAAGAAGCUUUUUAAUUAUGGAUUGCUUGUUGUUCACUAUUAAGGAAUUGAAAAUUGUUAAGAUCCAACGAUCUUUUCAAAUUUUCAACUGGGUGGAUAUCAGGAGGAAAUUUGUCUUUCAUGCUCUUCUUGCUUUUGGACAUUCAUUACCUCCAAAAACUAUUAAAAGAAAGCAAUGAAAGUACAAGUGAAAGCCUCUAAAGUAGCUCUCUUAUGGUUGGAAAAUACAUCAGAUGCGUUUUAGCUAAGUAUUAGAGGUUGGAUUUGCUAGCCUCUAAAACUGUUGUUACUGGCCAAAACCGUAAGUUAGUAACAUGAGUAUAAAAGUGCAAUUCAACAAAAAUUUAGCCUAAGAAAUCAGGUUGCAUAAAAUUUUAUAGGUAAAAUUACUAAUUUGGUUUUUCAACUAUUAGACAAAGUUCAAUUUGUGGGCCUUAACAAUUAAUUGUGUCAAUUUUAUUCCUCAACAUUCAAAACCAAGUUAAUUUUAUCUUUUGAGUUUCUUCUCCUCUCUUUUAAGUAUUUUACGAGAUUAUCUGACACUAAUGUUGAUAAAAGUGGUUAUGAAGAGUCAAUGUCUUAUCAGUUUAGAUAAUCCUUUUAAGAAUUUAAAGGGAGAGGAGACUUAAGGAUGAAGUUGACCUGAAUUUGAAAUUUGAGGGACAAAGUGGACUCAAAUAAUAGUCAAGGGACCAAAUUGAAAUUUGCCUUCUAGUUGGAUGACUAAAUUGGUAUUUUAAUAAAUUUCAUAUUAUGGCUUUUGGUGACAGAUUUUAAUUGAUAUUUUAUGAUAAGGAUUCUAAAUUAAAAAAUAAUAAUAAUAAAAGUGAGUCAUUGCACCAGUUUGGUGAGGGUGCUAUUGACAUCCAAUUUGGUCAGAAGCUUUGUCAAUGAGGAUGUGAUGUUGCUAUUAAUUGUUCAAGUAAUUUUAAUAGUUUUCCAGCAAUAUCAGCCUCUGAAAUAUUGUAUUUCAAUUUCAAAUUUGGGCAGCUUCAUAAUGCUUCACUCAAUUCUUAUCCUCUUAUAAUGGUGGCCGGGCCAAGAGUUUUCGUAGCCCAACUAGCAUCUUUUGGCGCUUCCAAACAUCUAGGGUCCAAAUAAAAAUCUUGUUCUCUUACCUUCAAGGAGCAUCAAAAGAGAGUCGUCAUUCUGUAGCAUCUUGUGGCACUGUCUACUCACUAGUGUCCCUGUGGGGGAGAAUCUAGGUUUGAAUCCCUUUCCAAUCACUUAUUGUGAGUGAAAAAAAAAAAAAAAUGCAACAUGAGAAAAUAGAUAUAGGAAAACUAAAAAUACAAUCUAGAGGCAGCUUGAGAACGCUCACAAACCUAAAAUCUUUGUACAACAUAAAAAGAAAGAGACCUACAAUUGUCAUUUCCCUAAGUGUGCAAGGUAUUCUAUUUAAAACAAGAAUUUUUUAAAAAAUAAAUUUUUGAUUGGUUAUAUUAAAAAAAUGCCUCUCACCCCUAUGUAGAAUGUUUAGUUUGUUAUUUGGUGCUAACUUAUUUUGAAGGUGUGUGGCUAUCAGUGAGUGCUAGGGACGAGGUCCUGCGUUGGCUAAUGUCAGUACUCCCUUGUAUGCAUUGCGAAGAUGUUACUUGUAACUUCCACACUACGUAAGUACGUAUGCUUAUGUAUAAAGCUUGGCUUUGGUGGGAAACUUCUUAUGCAUAUGCCUAGUAGUUGCCUAUGUUGUGGUGGUGUAUCGUGUUGGCUUACACUAUAGUUUUACGCUUAUAAAUUAUAUAUUUUGCAAUUUUACUCAACACCCCUUGAUUGGGAAAAAUGCAGGAACCGUGUUAUCUAUUUUACCAAGACAAUCCUAAUGUUUAAAUUGCUUUUAUUCUAUGGGUUUGUUGUAGCGAGC